GAAGGGACCUAGCGUAGUUCGGAGUUACUGGGCUUAAAGAGUUCGUAGGUGGUUAAAAAAGUUGGUGGUGAAAUCCCAGAGCUUAACUCUGGAACUGCCAUCAAAACUUUUUAGCUAGAGUAUGAUAGAGGAAAGCAGAAUUUCUAGUGUAGAGGUGAAAUUCGUAGAUAUUAGAAAGAAUACCAAUUGCGAAGGCAGCUUUCUGGAUCAUUACUGACACUGAGGAACGAAAGCAUGGGUGGCGAAGAGGAUUAGAUACCCUCGUAGUCCAUGCCGUAAACGAUGUGUGUUAGAUGUUGGAAAUUUAUUUUCAGUAUCGCAGCGAAAGCAAUAAACACACCGCCUGGGGAGUACGACCGCAAGGUUAAAACUCAAAUGAAUUGACGGGGACCCGCACAAGUAGUGGAGCAUGUGGUUUAAUUCGAAGAUACGCGCAGAACCUUACCAACACUUGACAUGUUCGUUUCGACUCUAAGAGAUUAGAGUUUUCGGUUCGGCCGGACGAAACACAGGUGCUGCAUGGCUGUCGUCAGCUCGUGUCGUGAGAUGUUGGGUUAAGUCCCGCAACGAGCGCAACCCUUACUUUUAGUUGCCACCAUUUAGUUGGGCACUCUGAAAGAACUGCCAGUGAUAAGCUGGAGGAAGGUGGGGAUGACGUCAAGUCCUCAUGGCCCUUAUGUGUUGGGCUACACACGUGCUACAAUGGCAUUUACAAUAGGAAGCAAGAUGGCGACAUUAAGCAAAUCCUAAAAAAAUGCCUCAGUUCGGAUUGUACUCUGCAACUCGAGUACAUGAAGCUGGAAUUACUAGUAAUCGCGGAUCAGCGCGCCGCGGUGAAUACGUUCCCGGGUCUU
rnacentral:rRNA from 1 species